rnacentral:rRNA from 1 species
ACUCAAAUGAAUUGACGGGGGCCCGCACAAGCGGCGGAGCAUGCGGAUUAAUUCGAUGCAACGCGAAGAACCUUACCAAGGCUUGACAUGCACGGGUAAGUUCCAGAGAUGGUUCCCCCGCAAGGUCCGUGCACAGGUGGUGCAUGGUUGUCGUCAGCUCGUGUCGUGAGAUGUUGGGUUAAGUCCCGCAACGAGCGCAACCCUUGUCUUAUGUUGCCAGCGGGUUAUGCCGGGGACUCAUAAGAGACUGCCGGGGUCAACUCGGAGGAAGGUGGGGAUGACGUCAAAUCAUCAUGCCCCUUAUGUCUUGGGCUUCACGCAUGCUACAAUGGCCGGUACAAAGGGCUGCGAAACCGUGAGGUGGAGCGAAUCCCAAAAAGCCGGUCUCAGUUCGGAUUGGGGUCUGCAACUCGACCCCAUGAAGUCGGAGUCGCUAGUAAUCGCAGAUCAGCAACGCUGCGGUGAAUACGUUCCCGGGCCUUGCACACACCGCCCGU